rnacentral:rRNA from 1 species
GAUGAACGCUGGCGGCGUGCCUAAUACAUGCAAGUCGAGCGAACGGACGAGAAGCUUGCUUCUCUGAUGUUAGCGGCGGACGGGUGAGUAACACGUGGAUAACCUACCUAUAAGACUGGGAUAACUUCGGGAAACCGUAGCUAAUACCGGAUAAUAUUUUGAACCGCAUGGCUCAAAAGUGAAAGACGGUCUUGCUGUCACUUAUAGAUGGAUCCGCGCUGCAUUAGCUAGUUGGUAAGGUAACGGCUUACCAAGGCAACGAUGCAUAGCCGACCUGAGAGGGUGAUCGGCCACACUGGAACUGAGACACGGUCCAGACUCUUACGGGAGGCAGCAGUAGGGAAUCUUCCGCAAUGGGCGAAAGCCUGACGGAGCAACGCCGCGUGAGUGAUGAAGGUCUUCGGAUCGUAAAACUCUGUUAUUAGGGAAGAACAUAUGUGUAAGUAACUGUGCACAUCUUGACGGUACCUAAUCAGAAAGCCACGGCUAACUACGUG